rnacentral:rRNA from 1 species
AGAGUUUGAUCCUGGCUCAGGAUGAACGCUGGCGGCAUGCCUAAUACAUGCAAGUCGAACGAGAGGAAGGAAAGCUUGCUUUCCUGAAUCUAGUGGCGAACGGGUGAGUAACACGUAGGUAACCUGCCCAUGUGCCCGGGAUAACUUCUGGAAACGGAUGCUAAAACCGGAUAGGUAGCAGACAAGCAUUUGACUGCUAUUAAAGUGGCCUUGGCCAUGAACAUGGAUGGACCUGCGGUGCAUUAGCUGGUUGGUGAGGUAACGGCCCACCAAGGCGACGAUGCAUAGCCGGCCUGAGAGGGCGGACGGCCACAUUGGGACUGAGACACGGCCCAAACUCCUACGGGAGGCAGCAGUAGGGAAUUUUCGUCAAUGGGGGGAACCCUGAACGAGCAAUGCCGCGUGAGUGAGGAAGGUCUUCGGAUCGUAAAGCUCUGUUGUAAGAGAAAAACGGCACUCAUAGGGAAUGAUGAGUGAGUGAUGGUAUCUUACCAGAAAGUCACGGCUAACUACGUGCCAGCAGCCGCGGUAAUACGUAGGUGGCGAGCGUUAUCCGGAAUGAUUGGGCGUAAAGGGUGCGUAGGUGGCAGAUCAAGUCUGGAGUAAAAGGUAUGGGCUCAACCCGUACUGGCUCUGGAAACUGAUCCGCUAGAGAACAGAAGAGGACGGCGGAACUCCAUGUGUAGCGGUAAAAUGCGUAGAUAUAUGGAAGAACACCGGUGGCGAAGGCGGCCGUCUGGUCUGGAUUCUGACACUGAAGCACGAAAGCGUGGGGAGCAAAUAGGAUUAGAUACCCUAGUAGUCCACGCCGUAAACGAUGAGAACUAGGUGUUGGGGGAAUAACUCAGUGCCGCAGUUAACGCAGUAAGUUCUCCGCCUGGGGAGUAUGCACGCAAGUGUGAAACUCAAAGGAAUUGACGGGGGCCCGCACAAGCGGUGGAGUAUGUGGUUUAA